UUCAUCUGGUUUCUCUUCAGAUUGUAUAAAUCGUUCGCUUUUUACUAAAGAGUUCCAUGGGGAGGAACAUUUAUGAUGAUGUGGUUUUGUCAGUGGGCCUGGGGACCCCAAA